rnacentral:lncRNA from 1 species
UGGCCCUGGCCCUUGCACAUGCAAUUCCUUGGAUCUGAAAUGCUGUCCAAGCCCAUUCUUGCUCACCCCUCACCCCUCAAGAAUCUCUGGAAAGCUGGGGCUUCGUACCACCACGAGUUUCUGCUGAUUCCAGGGCCUGGGCACACAGAUGCUUCUCUGGGAGGCAGGAGGCCCCUGGAGAGCAGGACAUGGUUGCCUCAAUGCAGCAUGUCAGCUUCCGUGGCUGUCACGUCCCUUAGAGCAGAGAUCUUGCUCUCACCGCUGCAGAAGGUGACCCUCCAAAGGAGGCCUGUGCAGGAGCCUGCAGGAGGCAGAAAGUUCCACCCGCAUCCAGGAGCAUAAUGGGACAGGCCACCUGGCAGGAAUCCUGGAUCCCCACGUCCCUGGUUUCACGACACCCCUUUCGUCUCAGUCAGACGGUGCUCUUACAGCCCCUUUCCAAUAGUUCUCCCAUAGACCUCAAAGCAGGGCCACACCAGGAAUCUGGGGACUAGCUAGCAAGAGGGAUACUUGUCAUAGGACAGGAUGAUCCCUUUUCCUCAAAAAUGUGGUCCAGUGCCACCUUAAAUCCACUCGGGGGUAUCUCCAAGCCAGGAAUAUGCCGGAAUAUGCGACCCAGGGUAUAGCCAUGGGGGCAAGUGCAGCAGCUUCUUUCAGUUGUUUGGAGUGUGUGGUAUUUGGACAUUAGCCCUCCUCCCACUGUGGUGCCCGCCAGGCCUGCUGGUUCCCCUGAGGAUCAUUUAAUCCUUUGUGUGAAUUGCCAGGGAUCAUGGCCGUGGAGUGGCAGUCAGACCUGAGCCUGGGGCAGAUUAGGGACCAUUAUUUUCUUUCUGUUUUACAGGGGAGCAAAGGAAAUUGGAGCGGGUGGGGUGCAUGAGUGAUCAUCACCUCCCUGCAGUGAACUCAGAUUAGCACCUGCACAUGGUUGGGGUUUAAGUUGAAUCAAGUCCUAGAGGGAACUGGCUCUGUCCCUAUUACUCAGAUGCUAUUUGAAGCCUCAUAAUCCCUCGACUUUGUUAUAUCCUUUCAGAAAAGGUUGAAAAGAUACCUUUGACAUACAUUCAUACAAAUAUAUACAUAGAUUUUUUUUUUUUUUUUUGUCAGCUC